rnacentral:rRNA from 1 species
AGCGAACGCUGGCGGCAGGCCUAAUACAUGCAAGUCGAACGGAUCCUUCGGGAUUAGUGGCGGACGGGUGAGUAACACGUGGGAACGUGCCCUUUGGUUCGGAACAACUCAGGGAAACUUGAGCUAAUACCGGAUAAGCCCUUCGGGGAAGAUUAUCGCAUUGGAGCGGCCCGCGUCUGAUUAGCUAGUUGGUGGGGUAAAGGCCUACCAAGGCGACGAUCAGUAGCUGGUCUGAGAGGANGAUCAGCCAC